GUGAACGCUGGCGGUAGGCCUAACACAUGCAAGUCGAACGGCAGCACAGUAAGAGCUUGCUCUUACGGGUGGCGAGUGGCGGACGGGUGAGGAAUACAUCGGAAUCUACUUUUUCGUGGGGGAUAACGUAGGGAAACUUACGCUAAUACCGCAUACGACCUACGGGUGAAAGCAGGGGAUCUUCGGACCUUGCGCGAUUGAAUGAGCCGAUGUCGGAUUAGCUAGUUGGCGGGGUAAAGGCCCACCAAGGCGACGAUCCGUAGCUGGUCUAAGAGGAUGAUCAGCCACACUGGAACUGAGACACGGUCCAGACUCCUACGGGAGGCAGCAGUGGGGAAUAUUGGACAAUGGGCGCAAGCCUGAUCCAGCCAUACCGCGUGGGUGAAGAAGGCCUUCGGGUUGUAAAGCCCUUUUGUUGGGAAAGAAAAGCAGCAGGUUAAUACCCCGCUGUUCUGACGGUACCCAAAGAAUAAGCACCGGCUAACUUCGU
rnacentral:rRNA from 1 species